rnacentral:rRNA from 1 species
UACAGAGGUGCUCGAGCGUUAGGCGGAAUCAGCUGGGCUUAAAGCGUGUGUAGGCGGAUCGUUAAGUACCUUGUGAAAUCCCACGGCUUAACCGUGGAACUGCUUGGUAUACUGGCGGUCUUGAGCCAGCUAGGGGCUACCGGAACAAAUGGUGGAGCGGUGAAAUGCGUAGAUAUCAUUUGGAACGCCAAUGGUGAAAACAGGUAGCUGGGGCUGUGCUGACGCUGAGACACGGAAAGCCAGGGGAGCAAACGGG